AUGCCAAGCAAGAAGUGUAAUCACAAAAAACGGCUCUGUGUACCGACUGAAUCACAGCCACAAGUUCCUACCAAAUGUGAAAUGUCCAAAAACUCACUGUUGGCACAAUGUAGCAUCUCCGGUCAAGGCUUGUGGCUACAGGAGACGUGGCAUCGGGCCCAAGAAAAUAAAUUCGAAAGCACACAGCCGAAUCAAGCAGGUGCAAAUGGGCAUUUUCAUCCCAGAGCAAACCACAUCGGUUAUGAUACAGGGAAAGACACUUGCAGCGGUAGAGAAGAAGCUAAUGUUUACAGUGUGAUGCAGCACUUUCUGGUCCGAGCUCUUCAAUGUAGUUCUACGUGGGAUUCUUGA
rnacentral:rRNA from 1 species